AACUAUUAGUUUUUUGUUUUGAAAACAAAAAUUAAGAUUUAUUCUUGUAGUUU
rnacentral:tRNA from 2 species